ACGGAGGGAGCUAGCGUUGUUCGGAAUUACUGGGCGUAAAGCGCGCGUAGGCGGUGAUUCAAGUCAGAGGUGAAAGCCCGGGGCUCAACCCCGGAACUGCCUUUGAAACUAGAUUGCUAGAAUCUUGGAGAGGUCAGUGGAAUUCCGAGUGUAGAGGUGAAAUUCGUAGAUAUUCGGAAGAACACCAGUGGCGAAGGCGACUGACUGGACAAGUAUUGACGCUGAGGUGCGAAAGCGUGGGGAGCAAACAGG
rnacentral:rRNA from 1 species